UUUUAAAAAACAGUAAUUACUGCUAAAGUAAAUGAUCGAGAAAAGAGGAGCGGUGAUGUGUAUGGACAGUCGCUUAUAAGAGCUUUGUUACGUAUAGUGGAGCAUCUUCCUUAUCUAUCAGCGCUGUUCUGCACAGGAGUUGUAUUUAAUGGCCAUACUGACAAAACAAGACAAUGAACAUCUAGGAGAGGAUAUAUCUCUCUCUGCACUGCGCUGUAAUAUAGACACACAUCUAUAUAUUAUACUUCAUUAUCACGCAAUAGUAAAAUAGCUGAGCCCACAAUAGAAUAACUAAGAGUGAUCAGUAUGAGUGCAUGACGAUAGACAUGGUGUUUUCUUUUUUCUUGAUUGUUUUUUUGUUUCUAAAAGAGGAGGGGCGGAGUGCUUCUAUUGUGUCUCCCCUCACCACCCAAUCGGGCACCCCAACAACAUGAGUAACAUGUAGAGCAUUUGUAUCUCUUUACUUCCUUACGAGAGAGAGACAAACAGACGUAUUGUAAUAUAUGCUCUCAAGUGAGUACGUCGAAGUUCUGUAAUACAAUUUCAAUGAUCAAAGAAGUCACCGCAUUGACUUGUCCUCUUAUGGAGGUGUCGUUAUAAUCUGCGUCUCUUGCUAUCGGCUACAGAUCCAGUACGGUGUCAUAGUGUUGAGCCACGUUCUUGCCCCUCCUACCUUGUAUCGUAGAUAAGUGCAUACAGGCAUAGAUCUCACGUUGUCCAUGUCAGGCCUGUCGGAUAGCUAUCGAGAAUGGAGUGUCGUAGUCUGUAUAAUCUCUGUGAUGUUCAUUCGACGCUCUUAUGCUGGUGCUGACGUUAUGGUCAGAGAUAUGGUCUAGAGUCUACGUGUGUUGUAUAAUUGUUUUUUCAUUCUUCAUCUCUGAUANGACACUUAGCGCGAUUUGUAUAUCUUGAUAUACAUACAUUCUUAGUGAUCAGUAUGUGAGACGGAUUUGCCGGUAAAUGGUACUAUAAUUGUUUUUCUGUAUAUAAACAUGUAUUUUACCAUUAUAAUAUUCCCCUGCCAAGAGCCCUGCCUUUUUCUUAAAUUUGCCCCCUGCCGCCAAUUUUUAUAAAAUCCUUCUCUUACUUUGGUAUAAGAAACCUGACCCGUUGAAUGUGGGAAAGUUCACCCCUCCGCGCGCCUCAGGAAAAAACUCGGUAGGCCCCGUUAUAAAAGAAUAAAAAUAAAUCUCCACUAGUAUUCUUCCUUAAAUUACUGUAUUCUCGCCACGCUAGCAGGCUUAAGUAUAUUCUAAAUGGUAUAAUUUGUUGUAGAAGUGAUAUAGUUUAAUAUUUUUUUUUGUUGAUUGCCGUUUCAUUUAUACGUNUCUAUCUCCUCUUGCUUUUUGUAUCUCUCUGCUCCGAUAUUCUACAGAGACAUGAGGCCGGCGCGCCGUAAAAUUUAGCAAGUAUGUAUAAUAUAAUUAAAUAAAUAUAUAUUACUUUAUAUUAUGUGUGUUUUGUUGUUUGUUGGGUGAGGGGGAG
rnacentral:rRNA from 1 species